rnacentral:lncRNA from 1 species
GAAAAAAAAAAGAUGAGAGACUUCUCAUUUAUUUGGUCUCCUGGUCCUCCCUCUCUCUUCCUUUUCCCCGUCACUCUCCUCUCAUCUUGGACUAUCACACUCUCUAACUCUCCCGGCCCUCAUCUCUCUCGCACGACCCUCAUCCUCCUUCAAAACCCAAAAAACUGGCGAUUCCACGGAACUGAAACCAAGCUGAAGUCCCCAUCCUUCUCUGUUCCCCCAUCAUCACUGUUCUCUCCUCCCUCGGAACCCUGCAACAUCACCAUCGCGGCAGAGCCGCCUUCUCCGGCGAGUUCGUCGAUUUCCCGACUUGGGGUAAGCCUCGGGAUGCUUAAGAUCUUCAACUGUUACUUAUCUUUUUGUCCUAUUUGCUGCUAAUGAUUUGUAGCAAGAGUUGAUUUUUAACUGUUUCUAAUUGGUAAUGGAUUAAAGGAAGUUCAUUUACUAUUAGAGGUGCAUGUGAAAGUAAGCUUGAUUCGUAACCUCGUCGAGCAUUUGGAGCUCGCUUUGACUGAGGUUUUUCGAUUUGAUGUGAUGGCGUAUAAGCUUUUCUCAGUUUCUCGGUCAUUUUAAGGGUGACCAAGAUUAUCUCUGUGAGCAAUGUUGAGGUUAGGGAUUGGAAGUAAAUGAAAAGGGGUGUCUUUUCAUCAAAGGCUGAGGCCAAGAUUAUCUUUUGAGAAAACUUUGAGGCCUUACCUAGAUUGCAAGUCUCUGUUAAGUUCCAAUUGACGAAGAUGUUUAAAACUGUUGAAAUUAUACUGCCUUAAUUGAAAGGAGGCCUUACCUAGGAUAAUAUCUAGCUCAUUCGGGGUCUUUUUUUGGUUCUUUAACUACAUGAAAUUUGCAUUGAGAUGAAUUCUUAUCCUGAAUGAGUACAUGUGAGAAUCACGCGUGAUUGACGGAAAAUUAUGAAAUAAGAUAAUGAAUUCCGAAGGCUGGGUGCUCAGCUGGAGAUGCGGAUAAACAAAGAAUUAUAUGUUGAUUUGAAAAGGAAGACGUUUAUAUUGUUGAUUGGAGUAUAUAUGGCCGAUGAGAAUAUGCUAAACCGAUAGUUGCUCCUUGUAGGUUGCGGGGGAAGUGGUAACAUUAUGUGUUCAGAAUGUGGUGGCCGCGGGUAUCUAAGAUGACCAUACCGGUUCGCUUAUCUUCCUUGAAUUUGUUGUAUGUGCAAGUAACUUGUGUUAUAGCCAUGACGCUUUCCCUAAUUUUUUGUGGCUGAUUCCACGAUGAGUUAAGUGUAACAGUAAUGCAUCUGAUUCAUUUACUCUUCGAAAUGGUGUUCUUCCUCAGAUUUAUGUGCCAUUUAUCGUGUUGAAUGUUCAGAACCAU